rnacentral:rRNA from 1 species
AUUGAACGCUGGCGGCAUGCCUUACACAUGCAAGUCGAACGGCAGCACGGGGGCACCCUUGGUGGCGAGUGGCGAACGGGUGAGUAAUAUAUCGGAACGUGCCCUAGAGUGGGGGAUAACGUAGCGAAAGUUACGCUAAAACCGCAUACGAUCUACGGUUGAAAGUGGGGGACCGCAAGGCCUCAUGCUCGUGGAGCGGCCGAUAUCUGAUUAGCUAGUUGGUGGGGUAAAGGCCUCCCAAGGCGACGGUCAGUAGCUGGUCUGAGAGGACGACCAGCCGCACUGGGACUGAGACACGGCCCAGACUCCUACGGGAGGCAGCAGUGGGGAAUUUUGGACAAUGGGGGAGACCCUGAUCCAGCAAUGCCGCGUGAGUGAAGAAGGCCUUCGGGUUGUAAAGCGCUUUUGUGAGGGAAGAAACGGUGAGGGCUAAUAUCCUUUGCUGAUGACGGUACCUGAAGAAUAAGCACCGGCUAACUACGUGCCAGCCGCCGCGGUAA